GACCCCAGUUCCUCGCCAGUGCGGUCCGGGACGUGCGCUCGCCCCUGCGGACGCGGCCCGGAGGAGCGGGGAGGCAGGCGGGCCCCAGAGCGGGCUUGUGGCGCGGCGUCCGCGGGAGGACAGCUCUUGUUGCGGCAGGCACACCCGAGAGUGCUGAGAUGGAACCAAUGAUAGCAAAUGCUGAUGAAGAGAAAAGCUGGACAAGCAGUUUUUUGAUGAUUAAUACCGAAGGGACAGGAUGAAGUAAGGAAGCAAAAAUGCAGUUUAGCGGACCCUUGAUAUCACCAGAACCUGCUGCAGUAGGAGGUGUUCUGGCAUGGGUGACUAAGUAUCAGCAGGCCGUGGUGGAAAUUCCUGGAAAGGAGUCAGGAAUGGAACAAGGAACGUGCCGCUGCUUUCACUGGACUGGAAGAAAUGRCUGUAAAAUCUGCUGCCCUCAAACUCCCAGGACAAGGGUGAUGGAUUUUACUAUGCCUCCAUCAACAAGCGCUGGCUGGCAAAGUUACAUCAUGUCCCAACGGAGACUCUUAGGCAAGACGGGGGAGUUCGGGCGUUCAGAACGUCGGGGAACGACUGCGUGCUGCCGUGAAGAACUACAGGCCACCGUCCUCAGCCCUUUGUAAGUUAUCGCAUGUCAAGAGUGGCCAGGAGAAUCGAAACGCCAGCAGAAAGGUUCUCCGCCUGGUCCUGACAAGGAGCCUUUGGCCGUAGGAGGGUCGGCCACGUCCUUACUGGACUUGUGAGUAAUAAGCCGCAAUUCACGGACCAGCAAAGGAGGGGGGAACAGCGACCGGUAGCCCAGUCGCUACGGCAUUGCUGUUGCUAGCAGGGCCGUAAGGCCCGUGUGAAGCCUCAGCUGCCUCUUUGGAGCUUUAUUUUGGUCUGUUUACCAGGAAAAAGCAGUGAGGCCUCAAAUAAGAAUUUUYGUGGCUAGAUGGGUAAGCCGUGACCCCAGCUGUCUUUGCCUUGCUUUGCUGCUUAAUGUCGUGACAGCAACUCGGGAUCCCAGAAUAAAAACUGUUACAGUGCUUAAGGGAGGAUCUGC
rnacentral:lncRNA from 1 species